CAAUAGCGUAUAUUAAAGUUGUUGCGGUUAAAAAGCUCGUAGUUGGAUUUCUGCUGAGGACGACCGGUCCGCCCUUCGGGUGAGUAUCUGGUUUGGCCUUGGCAUCUUCUUGGUGAACGUAUCUGCACUUGACUGUGUGGUGCGGUACCCAGGACUUUUACUUUGAGGAAAUUAGAGUGUUUCAAGCAGGCAUACGCCUUGAAUACAUUAGCAUGGAAUAAUAAGAUAGGACCUCGGUUCUAUUUUGUUGGUUUCUAGAGCUGAGGUAAUGAUUAAUAGGGAUAGUUGGGGGCAUUCGUAUUUAACUGUCAGAGGUGAAAUUCUUGGAUUUAUGAAAGACGAACUUCUGCGAAAGCAUUUGCCAAGGAUGUUUUCAUUAA
rnacentral:rRNA from 1 species